rnacentral:rRNA from 1 species
CCUACGGGAGGCAGCAGUGAGGAAUAUUGGUCAAUGGACGAGAGUCUGAACCCGCCAAGUCGCGUGAAGGAUGAAUGCUCUAUGGGUUGUAAACUUCUUUUAUAUGGGGAUAAAACAGGGUAUGCAUACCAUCUUGUAUGUACCAUAUGAAUAAGGAUCGGCUAACUCCGUGCCAUCAGCCGCGGUCAUACGGCGGAUACGAGCGUUAUCCGGAUUUAUUGGGUUUAAUGGGAGCGUAGGUGGAUUGUUAAGUCAGUUGUUAAAGUUUGCGGCGCAAACGUAAAAUUGCAGUUGAAACUGGCAGUCUUGAGUACAGUAGAGGUGGGCUGAAUGCGUGGUGUAGCGGUGAAAUGCUUAGAUAUCACGAAGAACUCCGAUUGCGAAGGCAGCUCACUGGACUGCAACUGACACUGAUGCUCGAAAGUGUGGGUAUCAAACAGGAUUAGAUACCCCAGUAGUC